rnacentral:lncRNA from 10 species
CUUCUCUGUGCCCUUUCUUGGCUUCUUCUGUUGCUUCAGCUGCCAUCUGAUGAAAGUCUGAUGAAAACCAAAGGCCCUCCUCCAGAAAAGUUCAGGUACACCCAGAAAGAAAUGGGGGUGCAAUUUCAAAGGGAUCACAGGCCAUCUAAAACUAAACCUCAGACCUUCAGAUCCCGGCCCCCAGUGGACAUGGAACCUGAGUGAGGAAUGAACAGUGUCUCAGUUGCUGAGCUGUGGGACAUGGUGGCUGCUGCGGGGUCUUCAGCUUGGUCAUGGCAGGGUGCCCAUGGCCUACAUUCCUUUCUCCUCCUCUUCUCUGUGUCCUUGGCAGGCUGCCCCUGCAGAGGAGGACCGUGGGUGCCCAGACUGAGUAGGUAAGUUUAGCUCUAAGAGAACAGGUUGAGAGAGCCCAUCGGUUGUGUACAGGCAACUUCUCAGCCAAGCUCUGCCAGUUGCUGGUGUUCAUACUUGGCUGAUGUCUCCACUUCAAUACAGAGCCUGCAGGGGAUGCAGGCUGUGAAUGCAGUCCCUGGAACCAGACUGUGGGCUCAGCCAUGAGACCUGGGGGAUGUACUUCACCUUCCUGACUUGGGCUUUUCAACUUGGAAUUGGAGGCCAGAAGUCCACCCUGAAGCGUGGCUGUGGGGUGGAAACAGGCCCUCCAGCAGGGCAACAGCAGGGGCUCCUUGCCUGGCAGCCCCUCCGGUUCUUCAGCCCUUAGCCUCCCCUCUCUGGCUGUGGUCAGUGGCUGGCUCACCAGCCCCUCUUAUGGCAGUCACUGCUCCAGAGUGCCAGGAUUUCCCAGUAUGGUGGCCAGGGCUGUCCGGAGCCCAGCACGCAGCUCAGGAAGCAGCUCAAUGCAGGUGGGACGUCAGUGGGAGCAGAGGGCAGCCUCCCUCCCCAGACCCCUGAGGAUGAGUCUGUCUCCCUCCUUGGUGCUAACUUCUCUCUCCUUCUUACAUCUCCACUUCUUUCUUCUUCCU